AUCUCGCGAGAGCCGCGCGGCCCCCCACCCCCCGAAGGCUCGCAGGCGGAAGUGAGACGCCGGAAGCGGCCGUUGCCAUGGAUCCUGCAGACGACUGGCUGGUGGACUCCUUGCGCUUGUAAAUCGUACCAGGAUUUCUAUGCAUUCGACCUCUCAGGAGCGACUCGAGUCCUUGAAUGGAUUGAUGACAAAGGAGUCUUUGUUGCUGGCUAUGAAAGCCUGAAAAAGAAUGAAAUUCUUCAUCUGAAAUUACCUCUCAGACUUUCUGUAAACGAAAACAAGGGCUUAUUCCCAGAAAGAGAUUUCAAAGUGCGCCAUGGAGGAUUUUCAGACAGGUCUAUCUUUGAUCUAAAGCACGUGCCACAUACCAGAUUGUUGGUUACCAGUGGCCUUCCAGGUUGUUACCUGCAGGUGUGGCAGGUUGCAGAGGACAGUGAUGUCAUUAAAGCUGUCAGCACCAUUACUGUGCACGAGAAAGAGGAGAGUCUCUGGCCUAGGGUGGCCGUCUUCUCCGCAGUGGCACCCAGAGUCCUCCAUGGGGCGAGGCUCCGCAGUCUGCAGGUCGUUGAUCUGGAGUCCCGGAAGACCACGUACACCUCAGAUGUCAGUGACAGUGAGGAGCUGAGUAGCCUGCAGGUCCUAGAUGCAGACACCUUUGCCUUCUGCUGUGCUUCAGGCCAGCUGGGGCUUGUUGACACCCGCCAGAAGUGGGCACCGUUGGAGAAUCGCAGCCCUGGCCCUGGGUCUGGUGGAGAGAGAUGGUGUGCUGAAGUUGGGAGCUGGGGCCAGGGCCCUGGGCCCAGCAUUGCCAGCCUUGGCUCAGAUGGGCGUCUUUGUCUUCUUGAUCCCCGGGAUCUCUGCCAUCCUGUGAGCUCAGUCCAGUGCCCAGUAUCCAUACCUAGCCCUGACCCAGAGCUGCUGCGAGUGACUUGGGCCCCAGGCCUGAAGAAUUGCUUGGCCAUCUCAGGUUUUGAUGGUACAGUCCAGGUCUAUGAUGCCACAUCUUGGGAUGGAACACGGAGCCAAGUAGAACCUCUCUUCACUCACAGAGGUCACAUCUUCCUAGAUGGAAACGGGAUGGACCCUGCUCCUUUGGUCACCACCCACACCUGGCAUCCCUGCAGACCAAAGACUUUGUUAUCAGCAACAAAUGAUGCCUCUCUGCAUGUGUGGGACUGGGUGGACCUUCGUGCCCCCCACUGACACCAGCAUCUUUUCAUCCUGGCCUCUAGAAAGGGGAGGAGCUGCUGUAGUAGCAAAGGUACUGAUGUAGGACUCAAGUGACUGCCAGUCCCUGUUACCAGCUGUGUGGCCUUGGGCAAGUCCACCAGCGUCACUUAGCCUCAGUUUCCUUAUCUGUAAAAUGAGGAUAGUAAGAACUACCUCGUAGUGAUAUUGCGAAGGUUAGAAGAAACGCAUGGCUUAAUUACUUGGUAGCUAUUGUUAGAUCUGGGAGUGUAAAAUGGCAGCGUUUUGUCCCUGUCUUCACACUAUCAUAGGAAGAAUCAAAAGAGCUAACAAAUAUAAACGUGCUUUGUGAAUUUUUUUAAAGAAAAAAAUGUAGAGGGGCCAAUAAACAUGAAAAAAAUCCCAGCCCUAGUAGCAAUUAAGGAAAUAGCAAAACAAGAUUUCUGCUCCUCUUGAGUGGUUCUCAUGGGAACACAGGUGUACUUUCCCACACUUGUCCCCCCAGGUGACUAGGUUCAAGAGACAUUUGCUUUUGAUGGCCCCACAAACAUUUCCUUUUGAGGGCCCAUAGUGAAUAUUAAAGUGUGCUGGACAUGGUGACUCAUGCCUGUAAUCCCAGCACUUUCAGAGGCUGAGGUGGGCAGAUUGCUUGAGCUGAGGAGUUUGAGACCAGCCUGGGCAACAUAGCAAGAUCCCCCUUCCCUUAAAAAAAAAAU
rnacentral:sRNA from 1 species